ACAAACAAGCGCAAAAGCAGGCACCGUAUUUAAACAGAUGAGAUGAGAUGCGACAUAUGCUGUGUGAUGCAUACUUAGACCAGGGUAUGGCACAAACAAGCGGGAAAAGCAGGCACCGUAUUUAAACAGAUGAGAUGAGAUGCAACAUUUGCUGUGUGAUGCAUACUUAGACCAGGGUAUGGCACAAACAAGCGCAAAAGCAGGCACCGUAUUUAAACAGAUGAGAUGAGAUGCGACAUACGCUGUGUGAUGCAUACUUAGACCAGGGUAUGGCACAAACAAGCGGGAAAGCAGGCACCGUAUUUAAACAGAUGAGAUGAGAUGCGACAUAUGCUGUGUGAUGCAUACUUAGACCAGGGUAUGGCACAAACAAGCGGGAAAAGCAGGCACCGUAUUUAAACAGAUGAGAUGAGAUGCAACAUUUGCUGUGUGAUGCAUACUUAGACCAGGGUAUGGCACAAACAAGCGCAAAAGCAGGCACCGUAUUUAAACAGAUGAGAUGAGAUGCGACAUACGCUGUGUGAUGCAUACUUAGACCAGGGUAUGGCACAAACAAGCGGGAAAAGCAGGCACCGUAUUUAAACAGAUGACAUGAGAUGCGACAUAUGCUGUGUGAUGCAUACUUAGACCAGAUUGGAAAAUCUGGGUAAACCACAUAACAUUCAACAAGCAGCAUUUGGCAGCAGCAGCUUUUAAGCAGCUUUUGGCAGUACUCUGGUUCUAAAAUUCCUACAAUACUACUGUUGGGUUAAAAGAUGUAACUAGAACAAUGGAGCAUGUAAGGAAGUUUUGAUCCCGGCAGCCAAGAAGCGACACCCCUAAACACCAUUUAAGAAGGA